AUUGGUAAUAAUGAAUAUAAAGAGAAAGGAAGAGAUAUGUUAGAGACAUGGACAUGAGUUUUCUUAUUUUAAGUUACUAAAAGGAGAUACAUUUGGCCACUGGAACUAUCAGUAAUAUACAAAGUGUUCUAAAAGAUUAAUUGGGAAAUCUAAUCCUAUUCAUAAAGUCUGUUUUACAAGAAAUCAAGCUAAUGACAAAUGCAUUAAGAAUAUUUGAAGAGCUGCAAAUACUGGUUGGGGUGAGAAGGACAAUUCAAAAUGGGAUAAAAUUUAAAACCCUUAUAAGAAGUAUAUUGAUUUAAAUAUCCAUGGUCCUGUUGCUAAGAUCCCUGGAAACCUCUAUCUUUUUAUCUAUGAAUUUGGCAUUUAGUUUUAGAAUUUAUAGGUUCAACCAAUGUAAAACAAACUUUCUGUAAUGAUUAGAUUAGAAAAACAAUUGAUUUAACCAAUUAAUCAAUGUGUUCAGUUAUCGAUUGUUGGAA